AAGACUAGUAAAAGUUAGAAAAAUGCUAGCAUGAUGUAAUAAUGUAACACUAAUUUCGUUUCAUCAAAAAAAAAUGUAUAAAUUUAAGUCUGUAGUGCAAGUAAGUUAUACAUGUUCUGCAUCUGUCCAGCAUGUCAUUCUUUCGUCAUCCGCAGCUGCCUUAGUCAGCUGAAGAGUCUAUAGGAGUUAGCACCCCAGCUUCAAGUGUAUCCUGAUUAUCUUGGGCAACAUCUGUCAGUUUCUGUCAAUAUUGUCAUGGCAGAUGCGUUUGGUAGCAAUUCGGACAGAGGAAAUCAAGGUUCAGACGAAUCAACAAAUCCCAGAGCACAUGUGGAAGAAACUAAUGAACCAGGUCCAAGU